rnacentral:lncRNA from 1 species
AUGACCGGUCAUACAGACCGCAUCGACACGGAUAGCUGUCGUACAGACCAAUUGCUCUCCAGCUGGAGGAAGUGCUGCUUUAUAAUCACAGAACAUUCACUCACUAUUAAAGUGAUUCUGGCUGCUAGAGAGGAGAACAUAUCCUACAGCAUGAAAAAGUCAAGUCAACAGUUCACAUUGUUCACUCUAAACAAGAAUUUCACUUCAUCAGAAAGUUCAGUCCUCAAAAAAAAAGCUGCAUGCAGAAUCUGGAUUGUUGGGACUGCUACAUUGGACGUGGUGAAAAGCGAGCAAGGGAAACCAUGGGCACCAAUCUCAGUGUGUCCUCCCAGGUCCAGUGGUUUGGGGUGA